AGCACGUGUGAGCCCAGGUCAUAAGGGGAUGAUGUUUGACUCUCCCCACCUUCCUCCGGUUGCACCGGCAGUCACCUUAAUGCCAACUUAAUGUGGAACUAAGAUCAAGGGUGCGCUCGUGCGGGAUUAACCCAACUCUCACGACCGAGCUGACGACACCAUGCCCACCUGUCCUCUGUCCCGAAGGAGAACCCUAUCUCUAGGGUUU
rnacentral:rRNA from 1 species